UGGCUCAGAUUGAACGCUGGCGGCAGGCCUAACACAUGCAAGUCGAGCGGAUGAAGGGAGCUUGCUCCUGGAUUCAGCGGCGGACGGGUGAGUAAUGCCUAGGAAUCUGCCUGGUAGUGGGGGAUAACGUCCGGAAACGGGCGCUAAUACCGCAUACGUCCUGAGGGAGAAAGUGGGGGAUCUUCGGACCUCACGCUAUCAGAUGAGCCUAGGUCGGAUUAGCUAGUUGGUGGGGUAAAGGCCUACCAAGGCGACGAUCCGUAACUGGUCUGAGAGGAUGAUCAGUCACACUGGAACUGAGACACGGUCCAGACUCCUACGGGAGGCAGCAGUGGGGAAUAUUGGACAAUGGGCGAAAGCCUGAUCCAGCCAUGCCGCGUGUGUGAAGAAGGUCUUCGGAUUGUAAAGCACUUUAAGUUGGGAGGAAGGGCAGUAAGUUAAUACCUUGCUGUUUUGACGUUACCAACAGAAUAAGCACCGGCUAACUUCGUGCCAGCAGCCGCGGUAAUACGAAGGGUGCAAGCGUUAAUCGGAAUUACUGGGCGUAAAGCGCGCGUAGGUGGUUCAGCAAGUUGGAUGUGAAAUCCCCGGGCUCAACCUGGGAACUGCAUCCAAAACUACUGAGCUAGAGUACGGUAGAGGGUGGUGGAAUUUCCUGUGUAGCGGUGAAAUGCGUAGAUAUAGGAAGGAACACCAGUGGCGAAGGCGACCACCUGGACUGAUACUGACACUGAGGUGCGAAAGCGUGGGGAGCAAACAGGAUUAGAUAC
rnacentral:rRNA from 1 species